rnacentral:lncRNA from 1 species
UCCCCUGCAUAUGUAAGAAGAAAACAAGACAACAUUUAGGUUUCCUUGCUGGAAAGCAGAGAUAACAAACCUGUAAAUUGAAUAAGCAUCUUAAAUGAGUGGCUCAGUGCCUUCCCAGGAUCCCUUGCUUUCACCAAAAAAGAAGAGCUAAAUUGCAUUGCACUACACACCUCUCGCUAUAAACCUGAAAUUAGUACCGAGGACAGUGUAAUUGACGUAGUCAAUGAUUCAACAUGAAAUUCUCUAUUCCCUCACCAAGACUAAAAGGUAAAAUAAAUAAUACAAGAGACACAAAAAAGAAUGACAUCAAUAUAUAGAAAAUCAAGUAGUUUAAACAAUUUUUUUAAACACAUUGGCAAUUAUUAGUAAAUUUAAAUGUUCUUGGCAAGAGAUCAUGCUAUCCUAACAAAGACAUUUGAAAGCCAACUUCUAUGGUUUAGAAACUUGAAAAAACCAGCUUUAUCCAAGACAUAGAGAAUAUCAUUAUUGCUCAAGUAACAGAAACCAUGUGCAACAAAGUCCUUCAUCUCCAGCUUCUAUUAAUGGUUCAGGCUGAAAUAAAAUAAAAAUAAAAAUAAUAGCAGGAGGAAGAAAUUGGAUCAUAAAUUCAGUAAAUAUAAUAUUUCAUUCCACACUUCUAUAACUUACCUCAUGAAUCAAGACAUGCUUUACUGCAAUGCGAGAUUAAUAUAACACGAAUUGUAACCCUACUAGAAGACAAACCAAAUAAAUAUAUGAGAUAGUUCUAGAGCAAUAAUACUAAGUAUUCAUCAUUACAUUGAAAACUCAAUUUGUAUAAACAUCUAACUAGCUUCAAAGUAUACAAAAUUGCUAAAGACUGCAAAGUAUUACGAUAGUGGAAUUUGCAUAGAUGCAUACCUUAAUUCUCUACAAACGACAUCAACUUUCUAAACAAAACAAACUUCCUGAGGAUUCCAAUACCAUACUUCAACUUUCUAAAUAAUAUCAACAUCAAAUUUCUAUAUAUUAAAAAGGACGAUACCAGAGCAUACAUAAUACAUUUGCUGUUCAAUUCUGCCAAAAUCUUAGUCCUCUUAGAAUAAAAGAGAUAUCAAACACCAAACACCAACACUAAAAUUUUUCUUAGAGAAAAGGUAAUUAAAGGGAGAAUUUCAAUUCAUCAAAUACCAGUUAGAAUUCGAUAUAUAUCGCGAACCGAAAAUAAGUAAAAAUUCUCCCUGCUCAAGCUGUCGACCAACUGUAGUUGCUGCCCCCCUUUCGCUGCCAAAAUUGGUAACGCUAUUACCUCCUUUGGCCACAUCAGCCGCUUGUCGUUUGGUCGGAUCGGCACCGUGCACACCUGAAGUGUCGACCGCCAAAUGAUCUGCCGCUUGAACUAUAUAUCCACUUCGCAAUCUGCCAUCUUGCCUUCUUCAAAGCACAAACCCUUCCCCCUUUCACCAAUUACAUAUGUAAUAGGAUGAAAAUAAAGAUUUUGGCUGUGGCGUAAAUUGAAUUGAUAA